rnacentral:lncRNA from 1 species
UAAUACUCCAUCAUCAUUUAUUAAUGGCAUGGAUAAUAGUGUGAUACACAGAUAUAUUACUGUAAGUAGAAAACAUGAAGAUAUCUCUCAUGCAUUGCUCUCUUAAUUCCUUCUCUACAGACGUAACUCACUUCACUACAUGUCUCUCUUUUAGAUGUCAACAUUGUUAAUUCGCUAUAAAGCAACAUCUGCAGCAAAGAAACAUGGGAACCUAGCUAUAUGUAUUACUAUAUAUAUAUGUUGCUGUAGGAACUAGCAUUACAACAUCAUGCAGCUGGUGCCACCUUUGACGCAUCAUCAUCAUCGGCAUCGUCAUCGUCAUCGCCUUCACAUCCUCUGUAGAUACAUAUAAUUGAUCCCAACUUAGCUUCUGUAGCCAAAAACUUGGGGCAACCAAUUGAUAACUUUUUCUUGCUGGCACUAAUUAGAAUAACCAUAUUGGUAGUGAAGGAGUUUUUUGAACUUACCCUAGCUUUGAGAUAUGAGCCUAUACACGUCCAAGCCAACUCAACUUGUUGCAAGAUAUGGUCAAAUUCUCCUAUUUAUAUCUUGGAAAACGAAUGGCAUUUGCAAAAAAAAUCUCUUCCAUGUCCACCACUUGUUGAGGUAUUUUCUGUAUGCGUGUAGUAGUCUCUGACUUGGUUUUCGAAUCGUAAGAGAUUCGUAAUUUUUUGGAAUUCGAUCUCAACAAGUGGAGGAGAUUAGGGGUAUCAUGCGACAUCACUUUGCUAAGAUUUUUCUUUUAUAUGUACAUAAACAACAUUUUCUCACAAAAUAAAUAUAUAUGGAUGUAUGUAAACAAUAGGU